GGUCGUAUGGGGUAGAGGUUAUCCCCGUGGAUUUUGAUUUGCUUGCAAAAGACAGGUUUAAGUUUCCAUUGACCCCGGUUCGAUCCCGGGUACGACCU